rnacentral:pre_miRNA from 1 species
AGUGGGAUUACUGGGUCAAAUGGUGCUUCCAUUCCAAGUUUUCUGAGCAAUCUUCACACUGCUUUCCAGAGUGGUUGCACCAACUGUAGUCCCACCAGAAAU